rnacentral:misc_RNA from 1 species
AGUUUCUUCGCUGGUAAGAACGGACGAACGAGCCACGCCCACAGCCUUCAACCAGAAUCCGUCGCAGGACCCGACUCGCAGCCCUAAUUACUUUUCGCUCUCAUUUUUUUCGAUAUUUCAAUAAAUACCAAUCGCCAUGGACUCGCAAUCUGGUUCAUGAAGCUUUGUGGAAUAGCUCUGGAUUCAUAUUCGAUCCGACGGCAAGUUAGUAAUUAGGGUUUUCAAUUGAAGCAUUGUUUUGAGGGGUGGAAUUU